rnacentral:rRNA from 1 species
AGCGCAUCAGCUCACAUGGAAAUCCCCCGGGGAUUAUAUCCUCAGAAGGUAGGGUCCGGCCGGCGGGGGUUAAGUCCAGCCGGGAAUUGGCGCCACAGAGGGUGACAGCCCCCGUGCACCCUCCUCUAACGCCUUCAUCCCAGAUCUCCAAGAGUCGAGUUGUUUGGGAAUGCAGCUCUAAGUGGGUGGUAAAUUCCAUCUAAAGCUAAAUACCGGCGAGAGACCGAUAGCGAACAAGUACAGUGAUGGAAAGAUGAAAAGCACUUUGAAAAGAGAGUGAAAAAGUACGUGAAAUUGUUGAAAGGGAAGGGCUGCAAGCAGACACUUAACUGGGCCAGCAUCGGGGCGGCGGGGAACAAAACCACCGGGGAAGUACCUUUCGAGGAUUAUAACCCCGGUCUCAAUCUCCUACAGCCGACCCGAGGCCUGCAAUCUAAGGAUGUCUGGUGUAAUGGUGAACGUCGC